UGUCCUACCCAAUUUCUAGUCUCUAGAAUAGGUAGGGACUAGAAAUUGGGUAGGACAGA
rnacentral:precursor_RNA from 1 species